AACAACAGGAAACGCCUUGGAUGUGCAUAUGUGGGAUUGUGCAAGAAGACAUGUGUACGUGACAGUUAGACAGAGGCGAAGGCUGAAAUGGAAAAGCACUAAGCAGAAGUGGUGCUGGGCGAGAGAAACUAUAAGUAUGUGUGUCGCGAAGUUAUGUUUUGGCUCUCACUCGCACUGCGCUGUGAAGUGACAUCUCCAGAGCUUUGCAUCAAUAAAAGGCUACAAGGUAAUGCACUGUUUCCUGUCUCUUCUUUCCUGCAUCAACGAAUAUGACAAUUUGGUGACCCCGACGUGAUGAAAGGAAAGAAUCAUUCGGGCAGCUGAUCAUGCAGUGGACUCAAUUGUUACUUCGGCCGAACAACAAUAAGACAGGUCGAGGAUUUCCAGGACCCCAGCGACUGCUGUAUCAUUUCAGCUUUCUCUACGCAGGUGGGAGACCGGACGGGGAGCAGACAAACCCAGACGAUACCUGUUACCGAGUGGGUGCUGUUGAGAGUCAUCUAAAGAAAGUGGACUGAGCCGAGGUGGACAAGUCCAUUUCAGGUGACAGAGAGAACCAGCCACAGCGUACGCCUGAAGGGAAAAGGGGAGACAUGGUUCCAUCUGAACCAGUGCGCCACCGCAGAGCCACCACAGAGGAGUCUGCAGGAGACAGCGAGGGAUCUCACUGAAGCAUCAUUCAGCUCACCUGAACCAGGCGGAUCAGGUGCUCACUCCCACACAGAGGAGGCAGAAUAAUCUCUGGGAACAAAAGGGUCAAGGUAGUCCAUCCUUACACCCCAAAGUAAGAAGACAGGAGAUUCCGGAACAAAGGACUGUGAUUGGUGAUCUCUUUGAAGAGAUCAAAAGGGGGAAUUGUGGGAUUGCAUAAACUGAGUGAAUGGUAAGAUUAUAUAAAUAGAGAAUAAUCUAUAAAAUGGAAUAGGAUUAAUGCUUGAAUUAACAAAAUAAUUGCUGUAUGCGCAGACAUGAUUACUGAAUCACAGGAAACGCCUUGGAUGUGCAUAUGUGCGAUUGUGCAAGAAGACAUGUGUACGUGACAGUUAGAUGGAGGCGAGGG